CCUACGGGUGGCUGCAGUGGGGAAUAUUGGACAAUGGGGGCAACCCUGAUCCAGCCAUGCCGCGUGUGUGAAGAAGGCCCUCGGGUUGUAAAGCACUUUCAGUGAGGAAGAACCCCUGGUGGUUAAUACCCAUCAGGAAAGACAUCACUCACAGAAGAAGCACCGGCUAACUCCGUGCCAGCAGCCGCGGUAAUACGGAGGGUGCGAGCGUUAAUCGGAAUUACUGGGCGUAAAGCGCGCGUAGGUGGCUUGAUAAGCCGGUUGUGAAAGCCCCGGGCUCAACCUGGGAACGGCAUCCGGAACUGUCAAGCUAGAGUGCAGGAGAGGAAGGUAGAAUUCCCGGUGUAGCGGUGAAAUGCGUAGAGAUCGGGAGGAAUACCAGUGGCGAAGGCGGCCUUCUGGACUGACACUGACACUGAGGUGCGAAAGCGUGGGUAGCAAACAGGAUUAGAUACCCGGGUAGUC
rnacentral:rRNA from 1 species